GGUUAAGCGACUAAGCGUACACGGUGGAUGCCCUGGCAGUCAGAGGCGAUGAAGGACGUGCUAAUCUGCGAAAAGCGUCGGUAAGGUGAUAUGAACCGUUAUAACCGGCGAUGUCCGAAUGGGGAAACCCAGUGCAAUUCGUUGCACUAUCGUUAACUGAAUACAUAGGUUAACGAGGCGAACCGGGGGAACUGAAACAUCUAAGUACCCCGAGGAAAAGAAAUCAACCGAGAUUCCCCCAGUAGCGGCGAGCGAACGGGGAGCAGCCCAGAGUCUGAAUCAGCUUGUGUGUUAGUGGAACGGUCUGGAAAGUCCGACGGUACAGGGUGAUAGUCCCGUACACCAAAAUGCACAGGCUGUGAACUCGAAGAGUAGGGCGGGACACGUGGUAUCCUGUCUGAAUAUGGGGGGACCAUCCUCCAAGGCUAAAUACUCCUGACUGACCGAUAGUGAACCAGUACCGUGAGGGAAAGGCGAAAAGAACCCCGGCGAGGGGAGUGAAAAAGAACCUGAAACCGUGUACGUACAAGCAGUGGGAGCACCUUCGGGUGUGACUGCGUACCUUUUGUAUAAUGGGUCAGCGACUUAUAUUCUGUAGCAAGGUUAACCGUAUAGGGGAGCCGCAGGGAAACCGAGUCUUAACUGGGCGUUAAGUUGCAGGGUAUAGACCCGAAACCCGGUGAUCUAGCCAUGGGCAGGUUGAAGGUUGGGUAACACUAACUGGAGGACCGAACCGACUAAUGUUGAAAAAUUAGCGGAUGACUUGUGGCUGGGGGUGAAAGGCCAAUCAAACCGGGAGAUAGCUGGUUCUCCCCGAAAGCUAUUUAGGUAGCGCCUCGUGAACUCAUCUUCGGGGGUAGAGCACUGUUUCGGCUAGGGGGUCAUCCCGACUUACCAACCCGAUGCAAACUACGAAUACCGAAGAAUGUUAUCACGGGAGACACACGGCGGGUGCUAACGUCCGUCGUGAAGAGGGAAACAACCCAGACCGCCAGCUAAGGUCCCAAAGUCAUGGUUAAGUGGGAAACGAUGUGGGAAGGCACAGACAGCCAGGAUGUUGGCUUAGAAGCAGCCAUCAUUUAAAGAAAGCGUAAUAGCUCACUGGUCGAGUCGGCCUGCGCGGAAGAUGUAACGGGGCUAAACCAUGCACCGAAGCUGCGGCAGCGACACUAUGUGUUGUUGGGUAGGGGAGCGUUCUGUAAGCCUGCGAAGGUGUGCUGUGAGGCAUGCUGGAGGUAUCAGAAGUGCGAAUGCUGACAUAAGUAACGAUAAAGCGGGUGAAAAGCCCGCUCGCCGGAAGACCAAGGGUUCCUGUCCAACGUUAAUCGGGGCAGGGUGAGUCGACCCCUAAGGCGAGGCCGAAAGGCGUAGUCGAUGGGAAACAGGUUAAUAUUCCUGUACUUGGUGUUACUGCGAAGGGGGGACGGAGAAGGCUAUGUUAGCCGGGCGACGGUUGUCCCGGUUUAAGCAUGUAGGCUGGUUGUCCAGGCAAAUCCGGAUAAUCAAGGCUGAGGUGUGAUGACGAGGCACUACGGUGCUGAAGUAACAAAUGCCCUGCUUCCAGGAAAAGCCUCUAAGCAUCAGGUAACAUUAAAUCGUACCCCAAACCGACACAGGUGGUCAGGUAGAGAAUACCAAGGCGCUUGAGAGAACUCGGGUGAAGGAACUAGGCAAAAUGGUGCCGUAACUUCGGGAGAAGGCACGCUGGUGUGUAGGUGAAGUCCCUGCGGAUGGAGCUGAGACCAGUCGAAGAUACCAGCUGGCUGCAACUGUUUAUUAAAAACACAGCACUGUGCAAACACGAAAGUGGACGUAUACGGUGUGACGCCUGCCCGGUGCCGGAAGGUUAAUUGAUGGGGUUAUCCGUAAGGAGAAGCUCUUGAUCGAAGCCCCGGUAAACGGCGGCCGUAACUAUAACGGUCCUAAGGUAGCGAAAUUCCUUGUCGGGUAAGUUCCGACCUGCACGAAUGGCGUAAUGAUGGCCAGGCUGUCUCCACCCGAGACUCAGUGAAAUUGAACUCGCUGUGAAGAUGCAGUGUACCCGCGGCAAGACGGAAAGACCCCGUGAACCUUUACUAUAGCUUGACACUGAACAUUGAGCCUUGAUGUGUAGGAUAGGUGGGAGGCUUUGAAGCGUGGACGCCAGUCUGCGUGGAGCCAACCUUGAAAUACCACCCUUUAAUGUUUGAUGUUCUAACGUUGGCCCCUUAUCGGGGUUGCGGACAGUGUCUGGUGGGUAGUUUGACUGGGGCGGUCUCCUCCCAAAGCGUAACGGAGGAGCACGAAGGUUAGCUAAUCCUGGUCGGACAUCAGGAGGUUAGUGCAAUGGCAUAAGCUAGCUUGACUGCGAGCGUGACGGCGCGAGCAGGUGCGAAAGCAGGUCAUAGUGAUCCGGUGGUUCUGAAUGGAAGGGCCAUCGCUCAACGGAUAAAAGGUACUCCGGGGAUAACAGGCUGAUACCGCCCAAGAGUUCAUAUCGACGGCGGUGUUUGGCACCUCGAUGUCGGCUCAUCACAUCCUGGGGCUGAAGUAGGUCCCAAGGGUAUGGCUGUUCGCCAUUUAAAGUGGUACGCGAGCUGGGUUUAGAACGUCGUGAGACAGUUCGGUCCCUAUCUGCCGUGGGCGCUGGAGAAUUGAGGGGGGCUGCUCCUAGUACGAGAGGACCGGAGUGGACGCAUCACUGGUGUUCGGGUUGUCAUGCCAAUGGCACUGCCCGGUAGCUAAAUGCGGAAGAGAUAAGUGCUGAAAGCAUCUAAGCACGAAACUUGCCCCGAGAUGAGUUCUCCCUGAGACUUUAAGUCUCCUGAAGGAACGUUGAAGACGACGACGUUGAUAGGCCGGGUGUGUAAGCGCAGCGAUGCGUUGAGCUAACCGGUACUAAUGAACCGUGAGGCUUAACCUUAC
rnacentral:rRNA from 1 species